rnacentral:rRNA from 1 species
UACAGAGGUCUCAAGCGUUGUCCGGAAUUAUUGGGCGUAAAGAGCUCGUAGGCGGUGUGUCGCGUCGGCCGUGAAAACCUGCAGCUUAACUGUGGACUUGCGGUCGAUACGGGCAUCACUGGAGUUCGGCAGGGGAGACUGGAAUUCCUGGUGUAGCGGUGAAAUGCGCAGAUAUCAGGAGGAAUACCGGUGGUGUAGACGGCUCUCUGGACCGCCACUGGACGCUGAAGACACGAAAGCGUGGGUAGCAAACAGG